rnacentral:lncRNA from 1 species
GCCCCGUCCUUCAGUCGGUAGAUCUCUGUAAUUAGAUCUGCCAAGUCUAACGUAUCAUCAGUUACGCCGAUUAGCGCUUCCAACCGUGCAACUCUGUCGCGCAGGUCCGAUGUAGACCCACCCGCCAUGUUCAAGAGUUACAACCUGCUCCGCUCUGAUACCAGUUGUUACAGAGUUAAUUUUCGCAAAAUCAACACUGCACGGCAGUAGCUCGCAGCCACUUCAGCCCGUCACUUUUUCACACAACACAGCCUUACUUAGACAAUUUCAGGCUUGAACCAAACUUAAGAACACACACACAGUUUACGGGUAAAACCCAACCUUUAUUAUCUCUCUCAGAAUAAUACAAGGAAUCACGUUUUUAGGCUUGGCUCACAAGUGUUUUCUGAAUGCCUUAGCCAUAUACGAAAUGCAUAUAAAUAAAGGGGCUGCCAAUGGCAGUUACAAAGGGGGACAGUUACAAAGGGGAUCAUGUCAGCCACUUGCCCAUGAUCUUUGAUCAUGUCUUCAACCACUUGCCCAUGAUCUCGGACAUGCAUUCAACCACUCGCCCAUGAUCUCGGAUGUGGCUGCUUUGCCCACAGCUUCAUCAUGUGCCGCGCCCCAGCUUCGUCAUGUGCCGCGCACACAGCUUCGUCACAUGCCGCGCAUGCUUGCAUCCGGCCUGCCCGCACCUUGCCCCGCUUUAGCCUUGGACCUUGCCUCGCCCUUAACUUCAUAGCCACGCCCUGCCAUGAGUUAAGCCGUCCCACCGAUCCGCGCGCAUGCCUUUGUCAAGUGCCAUGCGUCUAUUGCCUUAGCCGAUGCCCACAAACUCAAGGCUGCCUUGCCGACACUCCAGCCGCCUUGUCUUUGCUGUCUUGCCUAAGCCCAUCACCACUUAGACACUCGCCCAGCGCCAUACAUUGCNN